rnacentral:rRNA from 1 species
AUUUAUGGCCAUACACCCUGAAUGUGCCUGAGCUCAGAAGCUAAGCAGGGUGGGGCCUAGUUGGCUUUGGAUG